rnacentral:rRNA from 1 species
GAGUAACGCGUGAGAAUCUACCUUCGAGAUGGGGACAACCGUUGGAAACGACGGCUAAUCCCCAAUAAGCCGAAAGGUGAAAGGGUUUCCGCUCGCAGAGGAGCUCGCGUCCGAUUAGUUAGUUGGUGGGGUAAGAGCCUACCAAGGCAGCGAUCGGUAGCUGGUCUGAGAGGAUGAGCAGCCACACUGGGACUGAGACACGGCCCAGACUCCUACGGGAGGCAGCAGUGGGGAAUUUUCCGCAAUGGGCGCAAGCCUGACGGAGCAACGCCGCGUGUGGGAAGAAGGCUCUUGGGCUGUCAACCACUUUUCUCAGGGAAGAAGUCCUGACGGUACCUGAGGAAUCAGCCUCGGCUAACUCCGUGCCAGCAGCCGCGGUAAUACGGAGGAGGCAAGCGUUAUCCGGAAUUAUUGGGCGUAAAGCGUCCGCAGGGGGCACUUCAAGUCUGCUGUCAAAGGUCGGAGCUUAACUCCGGUUCGGCAGUGGAAACUGGAGUGCUAGAGGGCGACAGGGGUAGAGGGAAUUCCCAGUGUAGCGGUGAAAUGCGUAGAGAUUGGGAAGAACACCGGUGGCGAAAGCGCUCUACUGGGUCGCACCUGACCCUCAGGGACGAAAGCUAAGGUAGCGAAAGGGAUUAGAUACCCCUGUAGUCUUAGCCGUAAACGAUGGAUACUAGGCGUGGUUUGUAUCGACCCAAGCCGUGCCGAAGCUAACGCGUUAAGUAUCCCGCCUGGGGAGUACGCACGCAAGUGUGAAACUCAAAGGAAUUGACGGGGGCCCGCACAAGCGGUGGAGGAUGUGGUUUAAUUCGAUGCAACGCGAAGAACCUUACCAGGGCUUGACAUCCCGCGAAUCUUGCUGAAAGGUGAGAGUGCCUUCGGGAGCGCGGAGACAGGUGGUGCAUGGCUGUCGUCAGCUCGUGUCGUGAGAUGUUGGGUUAA